GCAUCCUUGGCCCUCUCCGGUGGUCCCUGGAGACUAAGGUCCGGACUGCCCAGAUGUCCGACCCUGGCCCCGCCAACGUCCCACCAGGGUGCCUGUACGUUCCCAACACCUGCCAGUCCAAUGUCCUUUACUGGCGUCACUCCUCUGUCCUCUCUGGCCAUCCAGGACGCCAAAGGACCAUCUCGUUCAUUCCCCGGGCGUUCUGGUUGCCAUCAUUACGUAAUCGUAAUCAUCGUAAUAAUUUUUUCCUGGAAAAACGGCAACACUACUUCCUGGUUGUGGAAAGAGACUUCAGGGGGGAGCCACUAAGACAUAUAAAAGGGACCUCUAAGGAGCGCUUUGGAUCCGAUUCCAACAAGGCUCCUUAAGCAAAUAGCACCCAAUGUUAUAAAUUCUAUCCUCAAAAUUGUUAACUCGUUGCUUAGCACCGGCCACGUACCAAGUUCGUUCAAGGUAGCAGUCAUUAGACCCCUGAUUAAAAAGCCGGAUCUUGAUCGCAGUCAGCUUUCAAAUUAUAGACCGAUAUCCAACCUUCCGUUUAAAAAAUCUUAGAAAAAGUUGUAGCCCAGCAGCUGAGCGGAUACCUAGACUGUAACAAAAUCCAUGAAGUAUAUCAAUCAGGAUUUAGACCUCAUCAUAGCCCUGAGACAGCGCUGGUUAAAGUGGUUAAUGACCUGCUGUUGGCCUCUGAUCAGGGACUCACCUCGCUGCUUGUCCUGCUUGAUCUGAGUGCAGUGUUUGACACUAUUGAUCACGCUAUUCUCCUUGCCAGGUUAGAGAAUGUUAUCGGGAUUAAGGGAACAGCCCUUGAAUGGUUCAGAUCAUAUUUGACCAACCGAUAUCAGUUUGUGGACAUCAAUGGUGUUUCGUCUUCACAUAGUAAAGUAGAGUUUGGUGUUCCACAAGGUUCUGUCCUAGGUCCGUUACUUUUUUUCUCUAUACAUGUUACCUUUAGGCGAUGUCAUCCGCAAACACGGUAUUAGCUUUCAUUGCUACGCUGACGACACACAGCUGUAUCUGUCAGCAAUGCCAGAUCAGAGGCAGCAGCUGAACAAAAUAGAGAAUUGUCUGAAGGACAUUAGAUCCUUCAGGGUGCGGGGUCACUACUGGUACCAAAGGUGCAGAAGGUCACAGCUGGGAGCAGAUCCUUCUCCUAUAGAGCUCCGCAGUUGUGGAACAGCUUGCCUGUCAGUGUCCGGGACUCAGACACAGUCUCAGUGUUUAAAUCCAAUCUCAAUCUAGUAAUCUGUUUUCUCUGGCUUUUUGCUAAAGUCCUAGACCCUCAUUUCACUUGAUUUAGACGCAGUGUCAAUUAUAAAGUCCAGUUUAUCACACAGUCCCCCUGUUAGACACAGACAGAGUUAAAUUCACCCUAGUUAGGCUGUCCUAGUUAGGGUACCAGGUCACUGUAGCACCAAUAUACCACCAUAACCACAUAUUUCAGUAUCGGUCGUAUAGUGCAACCGUUUGCCGCUGCUUCUGUUUGUUUUUCUCCGAGACACGGAAUCAAGCACCCAGACUACUGGCAGACCCCAGUGAUCAGACCAGCAAAUAAAUCCUGGUUCCUGACAACUGCUUUACAAGGACAAAACAUGAAACAAACCAGAGGGUCACCACAGCCACCACCACCAUUACAACUACAGCUUCAGGGAUCUUCAAAUGGACCAAUAACAUCAUUAUGGACACGUAAUCUAGACCAUGACACUGAAUACAUCCUGGACUUCUCCAACCCUACAACCGUAGGACUUAUCAUUAUAUCAUAUCCAACC
ensembl:lncRNA